rnacentral:rRNA from 1 species
GAGAAGCUUGCUUCUCUGAUGUUAGCGGCGGACGGGUGAGUAACACGUGGAUAACCUACCUAUAAGACUGGGAUAACUUCGGGAAACCGGAGCUAAUACCGGAUAAUAUUUUGAACCGCAUGGUUCAAAAGUGAAAGACGGUCUUGCUGUCACUUAUAGAUGGAUCCGCGCUGCAUUAGCUAGUUGGUAAGGUAACGGCUUACCAAGGCAACGAUGCAUAGCCGACCUGAGAGGGUGAUCGGCCACACUGGAACUGAGACACGGUCCAGACUCCUACGGGAGGCAGCAGUAGGGAAUCUUCCGCAAUGGGCGAAAGCCUGACGGAGCAACGCCGCGUGAGUGAUGAAGGUCUUCGGAUCGUAAAACUCUGUUAUUAGGGAAGAACAUAUGUGUAAGUAACUGUGCACAUCUUGACGGUACCUAAUCAGAAAGCCACGGCUAACUACGUGCCAGCAGCCGCGGUAAUACGUAGGUGGCAAGCGUUAUCCGGAAUUAUUGGGCGUAAAGCGCGCGUAGGCGGUUUUUUAAGUCUGAUGUGAAAGCCCACGGCUCAACCGUGGAGGGUCAUUGGAAACUGGAAAACUUGAGUGCAGAAGAGGAAAGUGGAAUUCCAUGUGUAGCGGUGAAAUGCGCAGAGAUAUGGAGGAACACCAGUGGCGAAGGCGACUUUCUGGUCUGUAACUGACGCUGAUGUGCGAAAGCGUGGGGAUCAAACAGGAUUAGAUACCCUGGUAGUCCACGCCGUAAACGAUGAGUGCUAAGUGUUAGGGGGUUUCCGCCCCUUAGUGCUGCAGCUAACGCAUUAAGCACUCCGCCUGGGGAGUACGACCGCAAGGUUGAAACUCAAAGGAAUUGACGGGGACCCGCACAAGCGGUGGAGCAUGUGGUUUAAUUCGAAGCAACGCGAAGAACCUUACCAAAUCUUGACAUCCUUUGACAACUCUAGAGAUAGAGCCUUCCCCUUCGGGGGACAAAGUGACAGGUGGUGCAUGGUUGUCGUCAGCUCGUGUCGUGAGAUGUUGGGUUAAGUCCCGCAACGAGCGCAACCCUUAAGCUUAGUUGCCAUCAUUAAGUUGGGCACUCUAAGUUGACUGCCGGUGACAAACCGGAGGAAGGUGGGGAUGACGUCAAAUCAUCAUGCCCCUUAUGAUUUGGGCUACACACGUGCUACAAUGGACAAUACAAAGGGCAGCGAAACCGCGAGGUCAAGCAAAUCCCAUAAAGUUGUUCUCAGUUCGGAUUGUAGUCUGCAACUCGACUACAUGAAGCUGGAAUCGCUAGUAAUCGUAGAUCAGCAUGCUACGGUGAAUACGUUCCCGGGUCUUGUACACACCGCCCGUCACACCACGAGAGUUUGUAACACCCGAAGCCGGUGGAGUAACCUUUUAGGAGCUAGCCGUCGAAGGUGGGACAAAUGAUUGGGGUGAAGUCGUAACAGCU